ensembl:lncRNA
AGGCCCUUUGAGCAGGGGUCAGCUGGCGAGAGGGCUUCUCCCGUGGCUCAGCGGUAAAGCAUCUGUCUGCAAUGCAGGAGAUGUGGCAAGAGCUGCGGGUUCCAUCUCUUGGUCGAGAAGAUUCCCCUGGAGAAGGAAUUGGCAACCCACUCCAGUAUUCCUGCCUGGGAAAUCCCGUGGAUAGAGGAGCCUGGCGGCCUAUGGUCCAUGGGGUCACAAAGAAUCGGACAUGGCUGAGAGAGUAAAUAACCACCACAGCUGGCGAGGGCAGAGGAGAGCGACUGCGAAGGGCCUCCUCCACCUGCCAGAAGAGGGGAGGGAAGGUAACAGCCUUGGGCUCGAGCCCGGGGACCUCUGCCAGCGGCCACGUCCAGCCCACAGCCCCAGGGAGGGCCAGGAGGAACCACAGAGCCCGAUCUCCCCAGGCUGGGGGCCGAGCCCAGGCGAACCCGCCUCCCCAGGGGGCUUCAGAUGCAGAAAUCAGCUUUCUGUCCUAGAAUGGAGCCCAGCCGCCCGGGCCUGUCGUCACAGCGUCCGAAGUCUGUCCCAUCAGAGGCCAGCUGCCCGGAGGGUAACGCAGGAUAACAGCUUUCCAACUGCUUCCAAGAACAAAAGCUUAACACCCUGGGAGAGUGCAAGGGGCAACAUGCAAGAAGGCAGGUGGAGGGAGCUCGAGCAGGAGACUGCGCCCCCUUCCCAAUUCUGCCCAUGUAGCCUGCCCCUUCCGGAAGAGUCAAAACCCACUCUCCCUCUGGGCCCGUCACUAGCAAACACAAGCGAUGCCCAAGCUCUGACAUCGGGGGAGGAGGCUGGAGACC